rnacentral:misc_RNA from 1 species
GAAACGCGAUAGGUAAUGUGAAUUGCAGAAUUCCGUGAAUCAUCGAAUCUUUGAACGCACAUUGCGCCUUCUGGUAUUCCGGUAGGCAUGCCUGUUUGAGCGUCAGCAAAACACCCUCAGUCUGAGUAUUUUUAUAUUUUUAUUCAGCACUGGUUUUGGGCAGCGGAUGCCGGUGGUUAUUACUUUCCACCUGCACCCUCCCUAAAAUUGCUGCACGACCGCAAGCCUCUUCUAGCCAGGUCAAUGGAGUGGUGUUACAAUCUUCCAGAAAGCCUGCUGGUAAACUGCUUUGCGGCGUUAAUCCUUAAUGCCUCCCUUGGUGGAGACUUGAAGUUUUGACCUCAGAUCAGACAAGGAUACCCGCUGAACUUAA